UACGUAGGCAGCGAGCGUUGUUCGGAGUUACUGGGCGUAAAGCGUGCGUAGGCGGUGUUCCAAGUCUGUUGUGAAAUCUCCCGGCUUAACUGGGAGGGUGCGGCGGAAACUGGGACGCUGGAGUGCGGGAGAGGUAAGCGGAAUUCCUGGUGUAGCGGUGAAAUGCGUAGAUAUCAGGAGGAACACCUGCGGUGUAGACGGCUUACUGGACCGUAACUGACGCUGAGGCGCGAAAAGCGUGGGGAGCAAACAGG
rnacentral:rRNA from 1 species